rnacentral:rRNA from 1 species
AGCGAACGCUGGCGGCAGGCCUAACACAUGCAAGUCGAACGAAGUCUUCGGACUUAGUGGCGGACGGGUGAGUAACACGUGGGAACGUACCUUUUGGUCCGGAACAACUCAGGGAAACUUGAGCUAAUACCGGAUGAGCCCUUAGGGGGAAAGAUUUAUCGCCGAAAGAGCGGCCCGCGUUAGAUUAGCUAGUUGGUGAGGUAAAGGCUCACCAGGGCUACGAUCUAUAGCUGGUCUGAGAGGAUGAUCAGCCACACUGGGACUGAGACACGGCCCAGACUCCUACGGGAGGCAGCAGUGGGGAAUCUUGCGCAAUGGGCGAAAGCCUGACGCAGCCAUGCCGCGUGAAUGAUGAAGGUCUUAGGAUUGUAAAAUUCUUUUACCAGGGACGAUAAUGACGGUACCUGGAGAAAAAGCCCCGGCUAACUUCGUGCCAGCAGCCGCAGUAACAC